rnacentral:rRNA from 1 species
AACGGGAGACGGCAGGGGCAGAGACGCCCCUUUCCCUCGGGACGUCUUCCGAGGUGCUGCAUGGUUGUCGUCAGCUCGUGCCGUGAGGUGUCGGCUUAAGUGCCAUAACGAGCGCAACCCCCGCGUGCAGUUGCCAGCAGGAAAGGCUGGGGACUCUGCACGGACUGCCGGCGCAAGCCGCGAGGAAGGCGGGGAUGACGUCAAAUCAGCACGGCCCUUACGUCCGGGGCGACACACGUGUUACAAUGGGGGGUACAGCGGGAAGCCAGGCGGCGACGCCGAGCGGAACCCGAAAGCCCCUCUCAGUUCGGAUCGGAGUCUGCAACCCGACUCCGUGAAGCUGGAUUCGCUAGUAAUCGCGCAUCAGCCAUGGCGCGGUGAAUACGUUCCCGGGCUUUGUACACACCGCCCGUCAAGCCAUGGGAGCCGAGGGCGCUUGAAGUGCGUCGCCGGGAGGCGCGCCCUAGAGCGAAAUCGGUGACUGGGGCUAAGUCGUAACAAGGUAGCCGU